CUACGGGCUGCUCCAGUGGGGAAUAUUGGACAAUGGACCAAAAGUCUGAUCCAGCAAUUCUGUGUGCACGAUGACGGUUUUCGGAUUGUAAAGUGCUUUCAACAGGGAAGAAGUUCUGACGGUACCUGUAGAAGAAGCGACGGCUAAAUACGUGCCAGCAGCCGCGGUAAUACGUAUGUCGCAAGCGUUAUCCGGAUUUAUUGGGCAUAAAGGGCAUCUAGGCGGCUUAGUAAGUCUGAUGUGAAAAUGCGGGGCUCAACUCCGUAUUGCGUUGGAAACUACUAAGCUAGAGUAUUGGAGAGGUAGGCGGAACUACAUGUGUAGAGGUGAAACUCGUAGAUAUAUGUAGGAAUGCCGAUGACGAAGGUAGCUUACUGGACAAUUACUGACGCUGAAGUGCGAAAGCUAGGGGAGCAAACAGGAUUAGAUACCCCCGUAGUC
rnacentral:rRNA from 1 species